rnacentral:rRNA from 1 species
ACGGUAACAGGUCUUCGGAUGCUGACGAGUGGCGAACGGGUGAGUAAUACAUCGGAACGUGCCUAGUAGUGGGGGAUAACUACUCGAAAGAGUAGCUAAUACCGCAUGAGAUCUACGGAUGAAAGCAGGGGACCUUCGGGCCUUGUGCUACUAGAGCGGCUGAUGGCAGAUUAGGUAGUUGGUGGGGUAAAGGCUUACCAAGCCUGCGAUCUGUAGCUGGUCUGAGAGGACGACCAGCCACACUGGGACUGAGACACGGCCCAGACUCCUACGGGAGGCAGCAGUGGGGAAUUUUGGACAAUGGGCGAAAGCCUGAUCCAGCAAUGCCGCGUGCAGGAUGAAGGCCCUCGGGUUGUAAACUGCUUUUGUACGGAACGAAAAGCCUGGGGCUAAUAUCCCCGGGUCAUGACGGUACCGUAAGAAUAAGCACCGGCUAACUACGUGCCAGCAGCCGCGGUAAUACGUAGGGUGCAAGCGUUAAUCGGAAUUACUGGGCGUAAAGCGUGCGCAGGCGGUUUUGUAAGACAGUGGUGAAAUCCCCGGGCUCAACCUGGGAACUGCCAUUGUGACUGCAAAGCUAGAGUGCGGCAGAGGGGGAUGGAAUUCCGCGUGUAGCAGUGAAAUGCGUAGAUAUGCGGAGGA